UCCCCAACAACUCACAGGUCAAGGCAGU
rnacentral:piRNA from 1 species